rnacentral:sRNA from 1 species
AGUUGUCCCAAUGAUCCAGUGGGAAGGUAUGUAAGUUUUCUUUGAAGUGACACAGGUUCGAUUCCGCGUCCUUGAGUUUCUGAGAUAAAAAGUUGCAGGCCAAGAUACUGAAGAUUCGUUCGG